rnacentral:rRNA from 1 species
AUCGUCCUUCUUGACAGAGCUUUACAUCCCUAAAGACGUCGUCACUCACGCGGCGUCGCUGCGUCAGGGUUUCCCCCAUUGCGCAAUAUUCCCC